UUUUUUUUUUAUUUAAAAUAACAUACUAUUAUCCGUAUCAUUUAUUUUUGGCCAAUUUGCAUAAAAAAUUCACUAAUUUUGUGCUUUUGCAAAAGUGGGCCACAUUUUUAGUUUUUGCAUAUUCGGGCGGAAUUUUCAGAAGGAUGACCAAACUACCCCUCUUUAAAUAUUCAUAAAAAUUAUAUACUUUAAAUGUCUAGAAAAAUACAACUGCUAAGCCAUUAUGUAUAAAACUUCUUGGAAAUGACAACUGCUAAGCCAUAAUUAUAUGCAUGUACCUUUUUUGUAAAACAAGAAACCUUAUUCAAGAGAAAAUAAAAAAAAUAAAGAUUAAUUAAUAAGAUGAAAGAGUGCAAUAUUCUCUUAAAUAGUGCAACAAUCUCUUCAAAAUAGUGCAAUAUCUGUAUAAGUAGUGCAACAUAUGCAUUGUUAAUACACAUUUUGCAUGAUUUUUACACUAAAUUACGCACAGUUUAGUAUAUUACACGAAAAUAAUAUAAUAUAUUACAACAUACUAUAAAAAUUAUACAAUAUAUGUACAAACGGUGCAUAUUUUACACUAUUUAUUCAUAUAUUUACACCAUUUGUGUAAAUAUUGCACGAUUUUGAGAGGAUGUUGCACCAUUUAAAUGUGUGUUGCACUCUUUCUUUUUGAAAAUUAAAUUUUAUUGCAUAUUAAAUAAAGUGUAAAACUUCUUGAAAAUGACAAAUGCUAAGCCAUAAUUACAUGCAUGUACCUUUCUCGUGAAACGAGAAACCUCAUUCAAGAGAAAAUAAAAAAAAAAAAAGAUUAAUUAAUAAGAUGAAAGAGUGCAAUAUCCUCUCAAAUAGUGCAACAAUCUCUUCAAAAUAGUGCAAUAUCUGUAUAAGUAGUGCAACAUAUGCAUUGUUAAUACACAUUUUGCAUGAUUUUUACACUAAAUUACGCACAGUUUAGUAUAUUACACGAAAAUAAUAUAAUAUAUUACAACAUACUAUAAAAAUUAUACAAUAUAUGUACAAACGGUGCAUAUUUUACACUAUUUAUACAUAUAUUUACACCAUUUGUGUAAAUGUUGCACUAUUAUGAGAGGAUGUUGCACCAUUUAGAUGUGUGUUGCACUCUUUCUUUUUGAAAAUUAAAUUUCAUUGCAUAUUAAAUAAAGUGUAAAACUUCUUGGAAAUGACAACUGCUAAGCCAUAAUUACAUGCAUGUACCUUUCUCGUGAAACGAGAAGCCUCAUUCAAGAGAAAAUAAAAAGAAUAAAGAAUAGUUAAUAAGAUGAAAGAGUGCAACAUCCUCUCAAAUAGUGUAACAAGCUCUUCAAAAUAAUGCAAUAUCUGUAUAAGUAGUGCAACAUAUGAAUUGUUAAUACACAUUUUGUAUGAUUUUUACACUAAAUUAAUUACAUACAGUUUAUUAUAUUAUAUGUUGCAUAUUAUUUUCGCGUAAUAUAUUAAACUGUAUGUAAUUUAGUGUAAAAAUUAUGUAAAAUGUGUAUUAACAAUGCGUAUGUUGCACUACUUAUACAGAUAUUGCACUAUUUUGAAGAGCUUGUUGCACUAUUUGAGAGGAUGUUGCACUCUUUCAUCUUACUAAUUAUUCUUUAUUUUUUUAUUUUCUUUUGAAUGAGGUUUCUCGUUUCACGAGAAAGGUACAUGUAAUUAUGGCUUAGCAGUUGUCAUUUCCAAGAAGUUUGACACUUUAUUUAAUAUGUAAUGAAAUUUAAUUUUCAAAAAGAAAGAGUGCAACACACAUAUAAAUGGUGCAACAUUCCCUUAUAAUAGUGCAACAUUUACACAAAUUGUGAAAAUAUAUGUAUAAAUAGUGUAAAAUAUGCACUGUUUAUACAUAUAUUGUAUAAUUUUUAUAAUAUAUUGUAAUAUAUUAUAUUAUUUUUGCGUAAUAUACUAAACUGUA
rnacentral:lncRNA from 1 species